CCUACGGGAGGCAGCAGUUAGUGGAAGCCAGGGCUGUAAGGCCGUUUGACAGCGUCGAUGAGCUGAGGACCCGAGUUGACGGCAUUGGAGAUAGGCGGCUCGCCGAGAUCAAAGCCCAGGGGUUGGCUUGUGUUAAGGGAGUGACCGAUGAUUAACAGCAAGCAGCGGGCGGUCAUUGACCGUAUUGUGGAUGGAGCUUUCGCCGUGCUUCUGCUCGAGGGAGGGCAGCAAAUCACCGUGCCCAUGGAAGAGCUUCCGCCCGGGAGCAGGGAAGGGAUCUGGCGACUGGUGCCCCCCAUAGG
rnacentral:rRNA from 1 species